UGGCAUCUACAGGGACUGCUUUGACAUCUUAAUUGCUUUUGCAGGGAGAGCAGGGCAACUGAUACAGAAUCACUUUGUGUCCUUGCGGGAAAACUAGUAUGGUCCAUUCGUAUUGAUCUUCACAUACUAGAUAAUGGAGGGAAUCUUGUUGAUGCCGCAAAUGUUGCUGCUUUGGCAGCCCUUUUGACCUUUAAGAGGCCAGAGUGUAGUCUGGGGGGAGAAGAUGGGCAAGAAUUAACAGUACAUCCACCUGAGGAUCAGGUGGCAGAGUUGAAGUUGCUACAGUUUUAUAGAGCAGAUGAAGAGAUCUUGUUUUUAUGUGGUAUCUAAUUUGUACAUUGAACAUUUUAGUUGAGAGUGUAAAGAUUUAGCCGCUGCAGAGCUUAGUUGGUGCAGAAAAUGUCAAAUAGUGAUAUGGUAGUGUAGAUACAUCAUACUGUGUUCUUAUUAUUGAGACAUGUGGUAUUUCAGAAAUUGCAAGGUGCAUUA